rnacentral:misc_RNA from 1 species
GAUGAAGAACGCAGCGAAAUGCGAUAAGUAGUGUGAAUUGCAGAAUUCAGUGAAUCAUCGAAUCUUUGAACGCACAUUGCGCCCCUUGGUAUUCCAUGGGCAUGCCUGUUCGAGCGUCAUUUGUACCUUCAAGCUUUGCUUGGUGUUGGGUGUUUGUCUCGCCUUUGCGUGUAGACUCGCCUUAAAAUAAUUGGCAGCCGGCGUAUUGAUUUCGGAGCGCAGUACAUCUCGCGCUUUGCACUCAUAACGACAGCGUCCAAAAGUACAUUUUACACUCUUGACCUCGGAUCAGGUAGGGAUACCCGCUGAACUUAAGCAUAUCAAUAAGCGGAGGA